rnacentral:sRNA from 1 species
GUGUCGGCGGUGCCCAGCUCACUGGCCCCCUCCCUCUCUUGUCGAGCGUGGUUGCCAGAGAGGCUCUCUCAGCCCUGCUCCGCAGGGUCCACAGCGGGCUCCACAGCGGUCCGGCGGCGGCAGCGAGCCCGUGGGCAGUGGGGGUUGGUCCCGUGGCUCCGGCCCCCGGUGCAGAAUGGCGGCGGCGGUUCGGAUGAACAUCCAGAUGCUGCUGGAGGCAGCCGACUAUCUGGAGCGGCGGGAGAGAGAAGCUGAACAUGGUUAUGCCUCCAUGUUACCAUACAAUAACAAGGACAGAGAUGCCUUAAAACGGAGGAACAAAUCCAAAAAGAAUAACAGCAGUAGCAGGUAAUUUGGUAAAUACUUCUUUCUGUCUUUUAGAUUAUAUUGUAGGUGACACAAACUGCUGAAUGUAAGUUGCCUGUUGUGAUUAUAACCCUAUAAAAUUACAUUGUGGCCGUCAUGAUUCAGUAAUGUACACAUGGACUUAAGCCAUUGCAGGAAGCUGUUUCUGUUUGGGUUGAGGGAACUGAAAAGAAAAAUAGAAAUGUUUUACAUUUCUUUAUGAACUUUA